rnacentral:rRNA from 1 species
UACGUAGGGUGCGAGCGUUAAUCGGAAUUACUGGGCGUAAAGCGUGCGCAGGCGGUUCGUUAAGUCAGAUGUGAAAGCCCCGGGCUCAACCUGGGAACUGCAUUUGAAACUGGCGGGCUUGAGUAUGGCAGAGGGGGGUGGAAUUCCGGCGUGUAGCAGGUGAAAUGCGUAGAGAGUGACGGAGGAACACCGAUGGCGAAGGCAGCCCCCUGGGCCAAUACUGACGCCUCAGGCACGAAAGCGUGGGGAGCAAACAGGA